rnacentral:lncRNA from 1 species
UUGUUUUGUUUCAAAAACAGAUAUUUUAGACUCUAACUUCUGUCUCUGUUUCCUGUGUCACUUCCAGAGGAUGCUGACUCCAGGAAUGGAGAAACUUUUUCCACUGCAGGAGAACAAUGUGGCGCCUCCUGGAUCGUGCCGUGUGAGCGUCUCACUAGAAGCUUCUGCAAUCCUCCCAGCAAGGCACUCUCUGAGAUGUGAAGAAGCGGGAAGGAAGUCUCUAUGGUACCAUGGGAACAGGCAGACUGAUGGCAUAGGUAGAGGCGGCAACCCCCCACCACCAGGGAGGAAGACGAUGUCUCUGGACUCAACUCAGAGGUUCUCCGAAGAGAAAGACUUGUUUUUCUCCAGAGAGCAGAGAAGAUAUCUCACGUACCUCACUACACGGUAACCAGGUAACCUGCCAUGCUCGUAGUAGCUGCUUAAUAAGCUCAAGUGACUGUGUGGCUGUUGGCUGGCUCUGGGAGAUGUGGACCCCAGGAGCGCUAGUGGAGGCUGCUGGGGUACUUCCUGUCCUCCAGCUCCCAUAGCCUCUUCUGCGUUGACCCGCUUUUUCCUUUAAGCCAGAAGAUGCUUCCAGGGGCUGCUGCUCUCUAAGUGAUGUGCACGGGUGGAGAAAGGAGAUGGGGCCUCAGCCCGACGACUGUUAGAGCACUCCCUUCCUCCUCCGGUGGGUGCCUAGAGGGCCAGAACUCAUGUGUCCGGAUUGCAGGAUUCCACUCAACUCCUUAGCUAGCCAUCAGUCUGCCCUUCUCAUUCCCUUCCAGCCCUUUUCUCUUUCAUCUCAGCUCAGCGAGCAGAGACACGUCCCCGCUGGAAGCUGCUGUUAAGAAAUGUGGCCACAACACAUGUGGACACACACAACACACACACACACACACACACACCUUUCUCAGUCUAUGAGCCUUUGUCUGGCCCUUUGCUCCUGGGCCUGACCCAUCUUUAUGAGAUCAAGGCUCUUUCUAUCCCAGGAUGCCGAACCCUGGCCUCCAAUGGGACAGAGCUGGUCAUUUUGCACGUCUCCAGCCUUGCCCUCCCUUGGGGGCUUGUGGAAGAUCCACCCAUAUGGCAGAACCUUCCAGAGAGACUCGAAACCAGGAGCCUGACCUCAUGAUGCCCGAAGCGCCUGGCACAGAAGGUACCAGCUCUGAUGUCCUGGCCCGAGCCCAGUUC